CGAACGCUGGCGGCGUGCCUAAUACAUGCAAGUCGAGCGCAGGAAAUCAUCCGAACCCUUCGGGGGGACGUUGAUGGAAUGAGCGGCGGACGGGUGAGUAACACGUAAAGAACCUGCCCUCAGGUCUGGGAUAACCACGAGAAAUCGGGGCUAAUACCGGAUGGGUCAUCGGACCGCAUGGUCCGAGGAUGAAAGGCGCUUCGGCGUCGCCUGGGGAUGGCUUUGCGGUGCAUUAGCUAGUUGGUGGGGUAAUGGCCCACCAAGGCGACGAUGCAUAGCCGACCUACGGGAGGCAGCAGUAGGGAAUCUUCCACAAUGGACGAAAGUCUGAUGGAGCAACGCCGCGUGAACGAUGAAGGCCUUCGGGUCGUAAAGUUCUGUUGUAAGGGAAGAACAAGUGCCGCAGGCAAUGGCGGCACCUUGACGGUACCUUGCGAGAAAGCCACGGCUAACUACGUGCCAGCAGCCGCGGUAAUACGUAGGUGGCAAGCGUUGUCCGGAAUUAUUGGGCGUAAAGCGCGCGCAGGCGGCCUCU
rnacentral:rRNA from 1 species